CCUACGAGCGGCAGCAGUCGAGAAUCAUUCACAAUGGGGGAAACCCUGAUGGUGCGACGCCGCGUGGGGGAAUGAAGGCUUUCGGAUUGGAAAUUCUUGUCAUGUGGGAGCAAAUUAAAAAGAUAGUACCAUACGAGGAAGAGACGACUAACUCUGUGCCAGCAGCCGCGGUAAUAAAGAGGUGCAAAGCGUUGUUCGGAAGCAUUGGGCGUAAAGGGUGCGUUGGCUGUUUCGUAAGUCGUUUGUGAAAGGCGCGGGAUCAACCCGGGGACGACACAUGAUACUGUGAGACUAGAGCGAUGGAGGGGGAAGCGGAAUUCUCGGUGGAGCAGUGGAAUGCGUAGAUAUCGAGAGGAACACUCGAGGCGAAGGGGAGUUCCUGGACAUUAACUUACGCUGAGGCACGAAGGCCAGGGGAGCGAAAGGGAUUAGAUACCCUUGUAGUC
rnacentral:rRNA from 1 species